GAUGAACGCUGGCGGCGUGCCUAAUACAUGCAAGUCGAGCGAACGGACGAGAAGCUUGCUUCUCUGCUGUUAGCGGCGGACGGGUGAGUAACACGUGGAUAACCUACCUAUAAGACUGGGAUAACUUCGGGAAACCGGAGCUAAUACCGGAUAAUAUUUUGAACCGCAUGGUUCAAAAGUGAAAGACGGUCUUGCUGUCACUUAUAGCUGGAUCCGCGCUGCAUUAGCUAGUUGGUAAGGUAACGGCUUACCAAGGCAACGAUGCAUAGCCGACCUGAGAGGGUGAUCGGCCACACUGGAACUGAGACACGGUCCAGACUCCUACGGGAGGCAGCAGUAGGGAAUCUUGCGCAAUGGGCGAAAGCCUGACGGAGCAACGCCGCGUGAGUGAUGAAGGUCUUCGGAUCGUAAAACUCUGUUAUUAGGGAAGAACAUAUGUGUAAGUAACUGUGCACAUCUUGACGGUACCUAAUCAGAAAGCCACGGCUAACUACGUG
rnacentral:rRNA from 1 species